rnacentral:rRNA from 1 species
AUUGAACGCUGGCGGCAGGCCUAACACAUGCAAGUCGAGCGGAAACGAGUUAUCUGAACUUCGGGGGACGAUAACGGCGUCGAGCGGCGGACGGGUGAGUAAUGCCUAGGAAAUUGCCCUGAUGUGGGGGAUAACCAUUGGAAACGAUGGCUAAUACCGCAUGAUGCCUACGGGCCAAAGAGGGGGACCUUCGGGCCUCUCGCGUCAGGAUAUGCCUAGGUGGGAUUAGCUAGUUGGUGAGGUAAGGGCUCACCAAGGCGACGAUCCCUAGCUGGUCUGAGAGGAUGAUCAGCCACACUGGAACUGAGACACGGUCCAGACUCCUACGGGAGGCAGCAGUGGGGAACAUUGCACAAUGGGCGCAAGCCUGAUGCAGCCAUGCCGCGUGUGUGAAGAAGGCCUUCGGGUUGUAAAGCACUUUCAGUCGUGAGGAAGGUAGUGUAGUUAAUAGCUGCAUUAUUUGACGUUAGCGACAGAAGAAGCACCGGCUAACUCCGUGCCAGCAGCCGCGGUAAUACGGAGGGUGCGAGCGUUAAUCGGAAUUACUGGGCGUAAAGCGCAUGCAGGUGGUUUGUUAAGUCAGAUGUGAAAGCCCGGGGCUCAACCUCGGAAUUGCAUUUGAAACUGGCAGACUAGAGUACUGUAGAGGGGGGUAGAAUUUCAGGUGUAGCGGUGAAAUGCGUAGAGAUCUGAAGGAAUACCGGUGGCGAAGGCGGCCCCCUGGACAGAUACUGACACUCAGAUGCGAAAGCGUGGGGAGCAAACAAG